CCGCGGUAAUACGUAGGGCGCAAGCGUUGUCCGGAUUUAUUGGGCGUAAAGGGCUCGUAGGCGGUUCGGUAAGUCGGGUGUGAAAACUCAGGGCUCAACUCUGAGACGCCACUCGAUACUGCCAUGACUAGAGUCCGGUAGAGGAGUGCGGAAUUCCUGGUGUAGCGGUGAAAUGCGCAGAUAUCAGGAGGAACACCGACAGCGAAGGCAGCACUCUGGGCCGGUACUGACGCUGAGGAGCGAAAGCGUGGGGAGCAAACAGG
rnacentral:rRNA from 1 species